rnacentral:lncRNA from 1 species
CCUGAGCUGAUUGGCGUGGCCACUCCUAGCUGUAAGGGAGGCUGGGAACUACACUGCCCUCUCCAACUGCCUGCCCUGCUCCUGCUCCAGGAUGCCCCGUGUUACUGAAAAGAAGAGGGUAAACGGGGAUGGGGGCAAUUAGAAGUCUCUGCCACUGCUUAUCAUAAUGGCGGAAAGGGCUGUGCAAGACUGAGAACACUGGGACUGUUGCCUGUCGUCUGGAAUCACAUUUUAAAUAAACAGACAAAGUGAACUGCAUAGAAAUGAUGAAGAAUGAAAUGGCAGAAAUA